GUAGGAGUUGCCAUGGGCAACUACAAUAACAAGACAGAUUGAUAUUUGAUAGGUCUGCAUGUCACAGUUCUUUAAAUCCCAGCCUCGUUUUUCUUAUGCCGUCUAAAGACUUUUAAUUACAGCAUGCGUCACCAGACCAUGCUACACAAGCCAUCAUGUCUGUAGGCAAGGAACUUGGUGUAACAAGAUGGACAUCACAAAUGUUUUUAAACUCC